UCUGCCCCACUUGGGCAGAGUUCUCACUCCAUCAGAAACAGUCCUGGAUAUGAUAGUGGACUGGCCGACAAGAAUCCGCAGUCGCUUUUUCAGAGGAGACGGGACCAGUCCUCUCCUCAGAGGCUUUACCUGGUGCCAGGCCUGGCCCUGCCCCCAGCCCAUCAGGGGCUCAGCCUGGCCUCCACCCAGUGAGAAAGAUCCUUGCCCAGGACAGGACGGGACAGUGCCAAGGAUUCCAGGCCCCUGCUCCAGCCCCGCCUUCUGCCCUGCAGGCCACGAUGACCUGACUUGUCCUCUUGAAGCAGAUGGAAUCCGGCAGGGACAGAUUGCCUGUGGUGGAGGGCAGAAUUAGCUCCGAGACAGCCUCUUGCAGCCCAGUGACACAGUAGGCACACCCGGCCCUGUCCUCCAACCCCCCUGCUGCACGUUGUCAUCCAGACUGGCUCCGUCAGUGUUUAAGCCUCAGUGUAGUAGUCCACAAAAUGGGCAGGGAUACCUGCUGGUGGAGAUCCAGGCCUGUAAGUGACCCCCUGAAUACCUGUAGCUCAGAGGAAAGACCCAGGGAGCCAUACAGUCUUUGGAAACUGCAGGUUCCCUGAGGUGGCAGACCGUGUUAAUUCGCUGGGUCCAGAGUGUGGCCCCUGUCCCAGCUCUCGCUAGCCUCCCCUCAGCCAGCCUCAGCAGGCUCAGCAUCUGCUCUCUGUUACUCAGAGCCAUCCAGUUGGAGUCUGUGCAUGGUGGUGAUAACUCAGGAGGGUAGGCUGAGAAAUGGGUGAAGCUGUGAUGCUUUCUCUCAUGAUAGGGUGUGCAAGAGGCCUCGUCGGUUGGGAUGACCUAGCCACUUGGAGGCCUGGACCUGCUAUACAUCACUUAGGCUUCAGCUUCUUCUUGGACAGUUUUCCCAGGUGACUCUUGAAGCUCAAGGAUCAUGUCCAACCCAGGUCAGUGGCAGUGUUUUGGCUGUUUAUGGAAUUCAGGGCCACCUACCCCAACUCUCCUGGAUGAUAUUGCUGUGGGUCCAUGCAGCCAUGCAGACCUGGAGGUUUGCAUAUGCUGGGUCUUGGCUGGGCCGUCUCAACUCCUGUCAGCCUCUUUCUGGGACUCUAGGAUGUCUGGACAUAUCCAGGCAUACCCAGGACACUAGAGUGGGCCAUCUUUCUGCCCCAGCUAUCAAGAGGGAGAUAGAACAGUGAGAUGACCCCAGGACUGUGAAUUACCUGCAGCAUCACUCAGGACUCAGUGGUGAAGGUCCUUGCUUCCUCUGCCACGGAUACCUUGCAGUUAGUUAUAACUGGGAACCUGUGUACUUGGGGUCUCUUGUGCGCAGAGGUGGCGGCCAGCCUGGAAGCUGUGCUCACCCUUGUCCCCUCCGGCAAGGAGCCAGAUGCUUUGGACCCACCUAGAUGAAUCUAGAUCCAAGGCAUUGGUGUGGCCAUAGUCAGAGGCAGUCUCAUCUCCCAGGGUGCAGGCAGGGCCCCACGCCAUCUUGUAUAAGCCAAAACACCCUGUAUUUGGGCCUGAGACCCCUCUGCUAUCUGUGCAUUGGUGUGUAUGGGCUGACACACACACACUACCCUGGUCUCUGUGUCUGCACCUGGGGUCAGGGAUGCUAGCCAGUGCCUGAGAGUAGGCACUGAAUAGACAGUUUGGGGUAGGGCGGGAGACCUCCAGACCUCGGAAGAUGGGACAGGACAGAGCGGGAAAGCACAGGCAGAGAUGGAAGAGAGACUGAGCAGAACACCUGGACAUACCUCAGGAGUGCAGUUGGCCCAGGUAUCCCGGGGGACCUAGGAGCUCUUGGCCAAGGGGCUCUGAUUUACAGAUCCUGGGCUUUCCUAAGUACCCACCCUAAGCCAGACCUGCCUAUGAUACCCCAUCUCAGCUAUAGGCAGAUUGUGUACACACAAUCCCCCAGUGUCCCAUGGACAUAGAUGGGGUGCACCUUUUACAAGGGCUCAGUCCCGGAAUGUGCCCCCAAGUCCUGAGUGCUAAUGUAUGUGGGAGACUGUGGGUGUAGGGCUCCAGGAGCAAAGAUGGGAGUCUCAGAGGGUCCUGGGCCAAGACCUGUGAGGAAGAGUCCAGAAUUGAAAAGGAUGGGCUGGGCUGGGGAGAGUGGCCAGUCCUGGUCCAUGACCCAGCCCCUACUUAGCACCAGGCACACAAGAUGCACUGGAUGUAUGCAGUGGGUGCUUACUCAGUGCAAGUGUUAGUGAGGGUUAAUUUCAGAGACACCCCCUCCAUACACAAUAUGGGGCUUACCAUCCCAUUCUCCUUUCCAGGGGCCUCUAUGGGUAGAGAGAGCUAGCCUCACCUCACCUGUGGCCUGGGGACACUGGGCCUUGAGGUCUUUGAGGCACCUGCUUAGACUAGGGGGCUGUGGCAAGUUUGGGGCUCUAGGAUUCAGUUGGCAAGGUUGGAAUUGCACCCCGAGAAAUCUGCCAGACUGGAUCUGGGCCUGGGAGGUCUGAGCACAGGCAAGUCCCUGGCCUUGUGCUCUCUCCAUGCUUGUCUAGCCAGCCAUGACCCGCACCGUGCUUAGAGUGUUGGCCCCGGCAAGUAGCCAAGCAUAGCCAACCACUGGCCUAGCAAGUGGUGGCCACAUGGCCUUGCUCAGUCUCUGAGGGAAACUGAGGCUUGGGGGCGGUGGGCUGGACAGCCAAGGUAGAUGCACACUGGAAGUUAUAGAUGGGGCUUCCAGAUUCCCAAGGUCUGGCACUCCCAGCCUAGAGACCAGCUGCCCCCAGGGUCGUCUGGAGGGUGAGAAAGGACACAGAUUUAUGUAAUAGCUGGAUACUGUUGUGUUUUUUAAAAUAAGGUCUCUAGCCUAGAUUUGAACUCUCGAUCCUCUGCCUUCGCCUCUGGAGUGCUUGGAUUAUAGGUGUGAGCCACUACAGCCCGUUUAUAUAGUGCUGGGGGCUGAACCUAGGAUUUGAGACUUGCUGGGCAGGUACUCCACCGUCUGAGCUCCAACUCUAGAUCUCUUAAAAAAAAUUUAAAAGAAUUCUUAGCCGGGCAAAGGUGGCACACACUUUUAAUCCCAGCACUUGAAAGGCAGACGCAGGUGGAUCUCUGUAAGUUCGAGGCCAGCCUGGUCUACAAAGGGAGUUCCAGGACAGCCGAGACUACACCGAGAAACCCUGUCUCGGGGGGAAAAAAAGGAUUUUUAAAAAAUCAGUGUGUAUCAGUGUUUUGCCUCCAUACGUGUCUGUGUGCCAUGUUUGUGCCUGGUGCCCGUAGAGCCUAGAGGAGGGCACUGGGUCUCCUGGAACUGGAGUUCCAGAUGGUUGUGAACCACCGCGUGAUGCUAGGGAUAGAACCGGAGUCCUCUGGAAGAGCACAGAGCGCUUUUAACUGCCGAGCCAUUGCUCCAGCGCCAGGAUGCUCUUUAUCCAGUCUUACAAAUACCUUGCAUUUGCUCGUUGGCCCCAGUGCAGUUACUGACCCACACAGACCCAGCCUUGGUCUAGCACCAGCUCGUGUCUCCCUGUGGCGCUCCAGCCUCCAGCUCCCAAGGACCCCCUGCCAGCCAGGCUGAGUGAGAAUGAUUCUGGAGAAAUGUUCCUGGGAAGCUAAAAGACCCCUGGGAAGGCACCGUUGGCCUUCUGGGGUGUGCAGCUUCCUGGAGCUCUCUCAGAGACGCUCUGAUCCCUCGGAACAACUCUGUGACCCCUCACAAUGUCGCUGAGUUUUGUAUUCCCUCGUUCCUAAAACAGGGGAGGAUGAAAACUCCCAUGCUGCUGUGUGACUGGGGAGGGGGGUGAGGGUGGAGAGCAAAAUCCCAACGUUUCUGUGCUCCACCCUCUAGCCAAGGACCACGUUGUCACGAGGACAAAGUGAACCCUACUUCCGAGCGACUUAGCAGUGCCCGGCACAUUGAAGGUACAAAAUGCUCACACUUGCUGGGCCUUGUGGCAAAGGCCUGUGAUCCUAGUGACUUGGGAAGUCGUUGAGGCCGGCCUGAGCUGUAGAGAGUGGAUCCACGUUCAGACUGGGACACUUAGCGAGGCCCUCAAGAUAAGACUUUCAAAGGGUUAGAGAUGUCACUUAGUGGUAGAGGCCUGGGUUCAGUCCCCAGUACCACCAACACCCCUCCCCCCAAAUUGUAUUCAUACCUAUGGGUCCUUAGUGUGUACCCAGCACUGACUCAUGAGUUUACAGCAAGGGGACUUGAAGCCAGAACCCUGUGGCUUCCCACUGAGGAGAGGCCCUUAGUGCUGGGAAAAAAAAAAAAAAAAGAGGCCGCUGUGCUAUUACCGCCCCAGAGUUCUCAGGACUGCUAUGGUUGUACAGGUGAUGAGUGGGGGUCUACCCUUGCCAUGUCGCCGUGGCAGUUUCACCCUGCCAAGACGAUGCGGACUCCUCUCAGUUCCACUCCUGUUCUGUUUGUUUGUUUUUGUCUUGUCACAGGCCCCGCCCUGGAUUCAUGUCGACUGGUCCCUGUCAGAGGCCCGAGCCCUUGGCUGUGUGAGUUGCAUCUCUCCCAUGACCCAGCCACCCUGCCAGGUGGCUUCUGUGACUAGUAUCCCUGCCCCCUGGGCCUCAGACUAGCUACCCGUGAAGUGGGGUUGUACGCCACACAGAUUUUUUGCUCUGCGUAGGUCAGAGGGAGACAGCCCGAGGUGGGACCAGUACCCGCUAGAGCCGUCCUCUCCGCCUCUGCUUUAUAACUGGAUUCUGAAUAAAAGAGAAACGGGGGUGGUGAGGAGACACAAAGGAGCCCCUCCAACACCUAGAUCCAUUCCUCCGUGGGGCUCUGGCUGAUCACUGAGUGCCCACUGCCCUCUGCCUAGAGAGGCUUGGCGACCCGCCGUGGUGACGGGGCAGUGGGACCCCUGGCCACAGGCCAGAAAGGGGGAUGUGCGUAGAUGUUGGUCGCUUGUUUAAGAAGCAGCUGGAACAAGACAAGGAAGCAAGGGCUGUCCCUCGCUGGAUCCACAGAAAGUGGGGAAUAGGGCGUGGCCAUACGCUCCUGAAGGAAGUCCCCCUGGCAUUCUGUUGAUGGCCACUUUGGCAACUGACCCCUUGACCUGUGGGCCCCAGACGGGAAGGAGCUAUCUAGCCCACUAGUUCUUGGAGCACAGGAUGGCACUUGAGCCCCCUGGCUUGGGGCCUCCCCAACCUGGGCAGAUAAGGACAUGUCCUGCAGAGACCCUAGGGCAGAGAAUUGUAACCCAGAAGAGCUCAGGCCCGGGACGCCUCACGGCUCGUGGGACCAACUGUCACCAUAAAGUGGGAGAACCUCGGUGCUUUUUAACAGGCACACCACCCGGAGCCCCUUGAAGGGAAGUAUGGAAGUCUCUGGAAGCCCUGAGUAUGCUUGGAGCUUGGGCGGGAGGAAGGCUCUGGAAGGAGCCUUGUCUCAUUAGGUGAUUGUCCCUCCUCCCUGCCAGGCAUCCACUGGUCCCACCCUCUGGCUUUCACGGCCUUUGUCUUCCAAGGGUGCCACAAAAUGGCCGACACAGCCCUCCGCCAUUUUGUAGCUGAAACGAGCAGUAGCCUUGGAGAGGAGGAGACCCCUGCUUCCUGCCUGCCCCGAGUGGCCUGGACAGAGCCCAGGACCAGCCCCCACCCUGCUUGGCUUUGGCCAUGGCCGCCCCGGGCUUGGCACAGCCAGCUGCUUGGCAAGGCAGCCUGGGAGUCCUGGCCUCUUACCCAGAUCCACUGAUUCCUUGCUACCCACCAAGCAAACGAGAAGGAGGCUGCACACAUCAGAAUCCGGAAAACCCGCCACUAACGCUGUACUUUUAGAGGGAGUCCUUGUCAGGGGUGGGGCCAGCAUGGGUGGUUCUAGGAAUGAUGUCUGCACUGUGGUACCGGGUUCCUAAGUGGAGCCAUCAACAAGCAUAGGUUUGAGUUAGGUCCCCCCGAGAGGAAAGCCUCCUGCCUCCACAUGCCCUGCCCAGGGACCUUGGUACUCCCUGGCUGAGUAUGGUACAGAAUGCUAGGAUUUCACAAUGGCCAGACCGUCUCCUGGCCUGGGUUGCCUAUGAUGUUGUUAAGUAGUCCAGGUGCUUGCUAGAGGAGGCUGCUUUGCUCCAAGAGCAAGGCCAUCCACCAGACCGCUGAGGCUCUGAGCUACGUGAAGCUCCCCCCGCCAACACUGUUCCUCUGCCUUCCCAGAGAUCAGAAGCAGCACGUCCCAGAGUGAUGCCAUAAUGAUGCCAUCCAGGCCCCCAGCACCCCCAGCACCCCUGAGUCAUCAUUAUACUGACAGUGCAUUCCAGCUUCCCAAGGUAGGACAGACAGGGCAAGCUCUGGGAGCUGGGAGUGGCCAGACCGCCCCGCCACCUCUGUGAUGGGGGUCCAUUAAAGAAGCUACGAGGUAGUCUCCCGUGAAGUAGGGAAGAGGGUAUGGCAUAAAAUGCCUUUGAAUCUUCCUGGGCAGCGUGGGGGUUGCUCCAUGGCCCUGCCUGGCCCUGUACUCUCUGCCAGGAUAGCAAGAAGCUAUGUGUAGACAGCAGGGCCUUGCUGUCUCAUCGAGGAAGCUAGCUGGAUGCCGGCCGGCCGGCCCCAGACUUCUUUCCCACAGCUCCCAGGAGGAACAUUCUGUCACCCUGAAGUGAGGCUUGUUCAGGCCAUGCCCUCCUUCAAGGGAGCUCCGACAGAAUGUCCCAGCGCUCACCUGCCCAGACCAGUGCCUUCUCAUGUGCCAGGCCACGAUAGAACCUCCCGGGGUCCUGGGGUAUAGGCUUCCUAGAACAAGAAAAUUUUCCCAAGGGAGGCCAGGCUCAGAGGGAGUUGGCAGAGGGGGGCCGUCAAAGAGCAGUCAGAGUACAUGCUUCACGAUGUGGCACCUGUAGUCAGUUCCCACGCACCUUCCUAUGACCCGGACAGUGCUUGAGUGGAGAAUACCUGCUGCUCAAAGCUGGUCACCUGUAGCCGAAAUGUCCAGCCCCAGGCUGAGUCCAGGGAGCAGGAGGCCCCACACAAUGGCCUUUCCCCCAAUGUACAGCAGGCCAUCUGUGCUUUGCCCUAGGCAUAAGCCAGCAGCUUCCUUAUGCCUCCGGCUGCUGUCCAUACCACAGAGCUAUCUCACUGGCUCUCCAGAAAAGGUACAGAGCCAGCUGACCUUCGCCUCGGACCCUGUUUCUAGAUGGAGAGAGCUAGGCUCAGAUCUGGGCCUCCCCAGCCAGCUCUAGACCCUGAGUCUCCCCUUGUCUCUCGUGAGUUCUGUGAGUCACAGCAUUCAUCACCUUUGUUCUAGGGGUGGGUGUGCCACCAGGGUACCACAGGUCUCGAGUCUACCCAAAGCCCAGUGCAGGUCAGAUCCGUCUUGGGAUCAGCAUGAGGUGUGUAGGGCUGGAGAGAGCCAGGCCCGGGGCAUUUAGAUGCUAGCUCCAGGUUUGACCUUGCAUCCCUGGGGUACACUUUUGGAAGAGGGUAUUCAAGACUGUGGGGCGCUUCCCCACACACCCGCCAGAGCAGUCCAGUCUGGAGCCAGGGGACACUGAGCAAACCUGGGUCAUCUUCGCUCAGAUAGGAUCUUGUAAUGUGUUUGCAUUCAUCACGUCUCUAAACUUCACACACAAGCGUUUCUCGUCUUGGUGACUGAGAUUUUGGUCACCCCCAACAUGCCUGUCUUAGCCAGACCCAAGAUGGUCCUCAGUGGGCAUGGCCUGCCUCUGGGCACACUGACCCAGGCCUAGUCAGUGAGCAUUCAUCUUGUUAACUUUAUGGGCCGUGUUCACAAGGAGGCCCGCCUUCUGCCCAGCCGGAUGCCACCCUCCCAUCGUUCCCAGACUCACUGUUGGCACGGCCUACUGAGCAGAGACACUGGUCGCUUUAUGGGAGAAACCUAAUCAGGGAGGCCAGCAUGGGGGGCGGGGGCUGCCAUGAAGGGGGGGGGGUCUGGCUCUUGGUGGCCCCAAGCCAAGCCUGAGGUGACUUCAGGGUGACACCGUCUGUCUGCCUCUCUCUCUCUCUCUCCAGACAUCCGCCCAGCUCUGAAAGGGCCACCUGCCUGCCUAGGUCUUCAGCGCACCUGUCCUGGCCAGCCUGGCUCCUCCUCCAGGCACCCUGCCCGUGGGCAGACACUGCCGGACUGGGGCAAAGCUGAGAGCUGGCAGCUGGCAGAUGGCAGGGCGUCUGCUGACUGCUCACUCCCUGGUGACCUGUUCAGGAUCGCCAUUCAUGUGCACUGCCCGCCCUGCCACUGGCCCUCCCCCAGCCUCGCCCCACCGGGUCCCUCUGGUUUGUUUCAGGACCCCUUCCCUGUUACCCCUUGAGAAAGGAGGCAUUUAUGUGGGUCCCAACCCCCCAGGGCGGAGGCCAGUGGUCAAGGCCUGGCUGUUGUACGGGUAAGACUGGCACAUCUCAACGCCCCGCAAGUACGGAACUGGGCCUUUUCCUCGCUCACUCACAAAUGGCUCUGGAGUCCAGACCAGGAAAGGGCGACCGUUCCUGAAGUCUUGUGGAACCAGUGUAAGCCCCCGGUGUAGGGCAGAGCUGCAUAAGAUCUGAGGAGACCAUGGUAGCCAUGCCUGCCACCAGAGCAUGGAGAGAUACCUGAGAGAAAUGGAUCCAAGACAGGCACCUGUGGGUCAGCCUCACUAGACUCCGAGCCCUGGGCAGAGUGAGGCCCCCUGGAGAGCAGGAGCCUUGUGGAAAGAAACAGGAAGAACAGGUCAGCGGUUCCUGGCAGAGGGACAGACCAGGGCAAAAGGCAGGAGGUGGGGAGGGCCUGGGAGAUGGCCAAGGAGGGCAGAGGAGGCUUGCCCAGGGCAUUUUGCUGCUUUGUGGGUUGGGGGAGGGGCCGAUGGGCACAGUGGGAAGGAUCAGAGAAAGUGUCUGUGUGAUGGAUAGCUUGGCUGUCUCGGGGGUGCAGCCAAGGCUGGUAGUCAGGGAGAGGGCUUUCCCACCCCUGUGUCCUCACCAGACCCUCAAUAGCCAAUGGCCUCAUCUUCCUUUCCUUGAGCUGUGCGGGAAUAACAAGGCUUCUAACAAACCACCCUGGCUUGAUGGACAGAACCGGGCAGAUCCCAAGCAGGGCUUGUCUCUGUGUUCCGCACCCUAGGCUCGGCUCCAGAGCCCUGUGGCCGGCCAGGCCGCUUCUCACUGCCACCAUGCCCCUGCUUGGCCUUCCCUCUUUCUGCUGGCUCUGCCGUGAUGCGUUGGCCAGAGUGGGUCCAAAGGAGGCAGGUCAGGAAGUGGUACCAAGCAGGAGCUUCUGCGUGCAGCUGACUCCCCUGUGGUGAGUGGGACCCCGCUGUCCUUCCUUGGAAAGUAGGGGGCCAUGGGAGACCUCAGAGUAAGAAAGGAUAAGGUCAGAACCACAUCGGUGACACUGCUCCAGCACCCCAGUUUAGAUGCCUUUGCCUGGAGGCCUGUACUCCCCCCCCAGGACGGUGCCUCCCGCCAGCAGACUGCCCCCCAGAUGAUUCAUCUCAUCUACCCAUAAUGCACUGUAAUAUGAUGCUCUUUGACCCCCUCUCAGCCUACCCAGGCUGGACAUGGUUUAACAGAGCUGCGGUUCCAUUCAUUACUGGCUCUGAGUGGAAGAGAAGCGGCCUCCCUACCCUGAAGAUACACUGUCCGGAGGCUCACGCCCUUCAGGUCACCCAGCCUUGAGAGCUCUCUGGGGACUUCAAAGGCAACUCUUUUCUCUCUGUCCCCCACCGCCAUCACGCAGCCCUCCAGUGUGAUGCUAAUACCCCCCAUGCCACCCAGCAUUGAUGGAGGACCUGCCAAAAGUGUCGUGCCUAGAGUAAGAAGAAAGGCCAGAUGAGGGGAACAGAAUCACUUCUGUUCCCAGGUUGGGCUAAGGCACAGGGGGUGGUAGUCAUGGUCAAGGAGGGACCAGGAUGCUUGCCUCCCGUUAUUUCUCUCCCACAGCUUGGGCUCUGCAUGGCUUGGGUUGCAGUGAAGCCCCAAACCUCGGGGAGGGUAGGCAGGGACAGGUGCAGGACAGGCCCUUUUGGGGCUGUCGCAAUGGCACACCAGCCUCCUGCUGAUUGCUAACUUGAGUGGCCAAGGAGCUGCUGAGAAUCCCCAAGAGCCAGCUAAAGGGACCCCACAGAAAUGCAAGGUGUGCAUAGGAUCACCCAGUGAAAAGACAGCCAAGACCUUCCAGGGAGUCCUGCUCACCAUACUGUAUCCUGCCGGCUAGGGGCAGAACCCCAAGUGUCGAGAGGCCCCUGUCAAGGUGUGCCUUCUUCAAGGUGCUUCUGAGGGGCUCAGAUGGGGAUGGCCAAAGUGGCCUUCAGUCAUUCUCCCACAGCCAGGUGCAUCCUGGGAACUGACAAGGUUAACUGUGGCCAGGCAGUGACGCUCCUCCACCUUCCCACCUGGUCCAUUCAUCAUGGAUGGGAACAUGAGGCGGGUGCCUGAAACACACUCUCUUCCCAUAGAGGCCUUCCUGCCUUGCUGGCUCUACUUGGACCAUCCUGGGGGAUAUUCCACCUGUUAGUGAAAGGGUCCAGGCUCGAGGCAGGGGAUGGCACACCAGUGGCUCACAUAGAUGUCCUCUGGGGCUGGACAGUGCCUGCCCACCGAGGACCGGGCCACACUAGCGCUCUGGGGCCUUGUUCCCAAGCCACUCUGCCUCAUAGACUCCAGAUCUGGGUACACAGUGUGGACUUAAACCUCAUGGCUCCAUUUUGACCCAGGGUCCUCUGACUUGCUCCUGUGACCCUUGGCAGGGAGGGAGGGAGGGAGGGAGGUGUGGCAUCAUGCAAAGAGCAAAAGCUGCCAGGCCUCCUGGAACCGGGCACAGAGCUUCCCUCUGCAUUGCCGGGCAAACCUGCCUGAGGCCUGUAAGCAGCAGCCCCUUCCCCUCUGAAGGCAGAGCCACCUGGGCCUAGAAACUCAGCCUUCAGAGCCUCAGUUUCUUCACAGUGACCCCACCUCACAGCUGGAGGAUUAGAUGACUCUGCCCAGCCUGGUGCCUGCCUAGGAAAACUGGAAGGAGGCCUGUAGUGGAGUCUCCAAGUCUGUGUUGGUACCGAAGAGCAGGGAGCUCCAGAAGCAUCUUACAAGGCGGGAAGAAUGCUCCGGCACACUGUUACUGCUCAGCUGGGGAGGCUGGAAGCCUUGCUUAUAAGAUGGGCUUAAAUACACUGGCCCAAGGUUCCCCCAGCAAGCUAGUGGCUGUGAGCAGUGUGUACAGGCUGACUGUUGCCCCAGAGUGGAUCUUACCUGUCCCACCUCACGGUGAGCAGUACAGGCCACACCAGGCUGCCUGGCCUUACCAGGGCGUCCUCCCUGCUGGGCUCUGUCCAAGGCUCUGGGAGCCCCAAGCUCAGAGCCAAGCACAGAGCCCCUGCUGGCUUCAGGAAGUGCUAGUCGCCAAGGACAGACUGGCCAUCAGUGUCCAGCCAGGGUCUGCACUUCCGCCCAGCUGGCCGCCAUGGGGAGCUAGGCUGCCUCCCACAAGGAAAAAAAUGGUUUUGAGCCUUCUGCAGCAAGGUCACUUGAGGCCACCCUGAGCGGGGAGGCAGGGACAGACCCAGAGCCCUCAAGGAGGGGCUCUUCCUGUGUAAGAGGAGGAGGGUACAUGCCCAAGGCCUCUUCCUAGCUGGAGUUCUGGUGCCUUCAACUCUAUGCUACAGCUGAGUGUACAGAGGCUGGGUCUCAGGGGUGGGCACUGGAAACCCCCUGGACCUGGCUGGCCUUUGACAAGCGACCACCCUUCCCCCAUUGUGGCCAUUCCUGCCUAGUGACUGGUCAGCUUUCCUCUCUCCUUCCCCACCCCGCCCCCUCACUUCCUUCAUUCUCUCUGCUUGGUGAUUUUGUUUUAAGUGUCCUGGCCCACUUUGGGGGGAAUCCCAGUCCGCCGCUGGCUGAUACCCUCAGCAACGAGCUGGCCAUGUUGGGCCCCUCACCAUACUCCCAGCUCUCCUCCUUCCUCCAGGAGGCAUCUCAAGACGCCGUAACAUCCAGCUCUACACCAAGACUGACUGACGGCCUUUGGGGUGAGGUAGUAGGUUGUAUGGUUUUGGGCUCUGCCCCGCUCUGCGGUAACUAUACAAUCUACUGUCUUUCCUGAAGUGGCCGCAAUAUCUGCAGUGGAUCCGCCGGCCCUGGCUUGGGAGGCUGAGGGAGGUACAGGGGUGGUAGUUGCCAUGCACAAAAAAAGUCCAACAGGGACCUUGGACAGUCCCUUGACCUCCUUGGUCUGUUACUCAUCUGCAAGGGUUGGGGCGUGGGGGUGAAAGCAGACAUGUAGCCUUUCCAGGCACCUCCUCUCCCUUGACCACACCGAAGGGCUUUACUUCCCCUGACCUCAUCAUAUUAGGCCUGGACUCACAGCUCUCCCCGAGGAAAGGGUCUGGGCUGGACCUUCACCUCUGUUCCAGAGUUGCUACACACUCCACACUUGGCACAUGCCCAAGCUUUCCAGCUCAGGGUCAGGUCUCCGAGACAUAGAGACAGGGCAUCUUUUCCAUGAAGGAAAUGGGGGGCAGGGUCUCAGCAUGGCUCAGUACCCUGGGAGCACAACCAUACAACUGGACUGGGUAGGCCACUGUCCCCGGGGUGAUGGGUUCAGACACUGGAGGCUUCCCUCAUCCGUCUGGUGGGUACAGGUCUCUCUGAAUCACUGUCUUCACUCCCCCCCCCCCCCGCCCUGUGCCAGCUGUGCCCUAGGGCUCUGGUGGCCUGUGGCCAGGGUGGGUGGGGAGGGGCUGGGCCUCCUCCAGAACAUGGACCCCGCAGGGUGAGGUAGUAGGUUGUGUGGUUUCAGGGCAGUGAUGUUGCCCCUUAGAAGAUAACUAUACAACCUACUGCCUUCCCUGAGGAGCCCAGGAACACAUCCGCAUGGAGGCCCC